rnacentral:rRNA from 2 species
AGCAUGUGGUUUAAUUCGAAGCAACGCGAAGAACCUUACCAGGGCUUGACAUGCCGCUGACCGGUGCAGAGAUGCAUCUUUAUCCUUCGGGGUACAGCGGACACAGGUGGUGCAUGGUUGUCGUCAGCUCGUGUCGUGAGAUGUUGGGUUAAGUCCCGCAACGAGCGCAACCCUUGUCUUUAGUUGCCAUCAUUAAGUUGGGCACUCUAAAGAGACUGCCGAUGACAAAUCGGAGGAAGGUGGGGAUGACGUCAAAUCAUCAUGCCCUUUAUGUACUGGGCUACACACGUGCUACAAUGGUCGGUACAACGAGAAGCAAGCCAGCGAUGGCAAGCAAAUCUCUAAAAGCCGAUCCCAGUUCGGAUUGCAGGCUGCAACUCGCCUGCAUGGAGUCGGAGUUGCUAGUAAUCGCGGAUCAGAAUGCCGCGGUGAAUGCGUUCCCGGGUCUU